rnacentral:rRNA from 1 species
UGGGGAAUAUUGGACAAUGGGCGCAAGCCUGAUCCAGCCAUGCCGCGUGAGUGACGAAGGCCUUAGGGUUGUAAAACUCUUUUGGCGGGGACGAUAAUGACGGUACCCGCAGAAUAAGCCCCGGCUAACUUCGUGCCAGCAGCCGCGGUAAUACGAAGGGGGCUAGCGUUGUUCGGAAUCACUGGGCGUAAAGCGCACGUAGGCGGACUGAUCAGUUGGGGUGAAAUCCCAGGGCUCAACCCUGGAACUGCCUUCAAUACUGUCAGUCUUGAGUCCGAGAGAGGUGAGUGGAAUUCCUAGUGUAGAGGUGAAAUUCGUAGAUAUUAGGAAGAACACCAGUGGCGAAGGCG